AGUGAACGUUGGCGGCGUGGAUUAGGCAUGCAAGUCGAGCGAGAACCGUAGCAAUACGGGGACAGCGGCGAAAGGGACAGUAAUGUGUAGGUACCUACCCCGAGGUCUGGGAUAGCUGCGGGAAACUGCAGGUAAUACCGGAUAAUGUCUUCGGACCAAAGGUGUGAUUCCACCUUGGGAGGGGCCUGUAUCCUAUUAGCUAGUUGGCGGGGUAAUGGCCCACCAAGGCAACGAUGGGUAGCGGGUGUGGGAGCACGACCCGCGUCAUUGGGACUGAGAUACUGCCCAGACACCUACGGGUGGCUGCAGUCGAGGAUCUUCGGCAAUGGGCGAAAGCCUGACCGAGCGACGCCGCGUGCGGGAUGAAGGCCUUCGGGUUGUAAACCGCUGUCGUAGAGGAGGAAAUGCAGGGGGGUUCUCCCUUCUGUUAGACCUAUUCUAGGAGGAAGGACGGGCUAAGUUCGUGCCAGCCGCCGCGGUAA
rnacentral:rRNA from 1 species